rnacentral:rRNA from 1 species
AUUGAACGCUGGCGGAAUGCUUUACACAUGCAAGUCGAACGGUAGAGGGGGCAACCCCUUGAGAGUGGCGAACGGGUGAGUAAUAUAUCGGAACGUGCCCAGUCGUGGGGAUAACGUAGCGAAAGUUACGCUAAUACCGCAUACGAUCUACGGAUGAAAGCGGGGGACUCGCAAGAGCCUCGCGCGAUUGGAGCGGCCGAUAUCAGAUUAGGUAGUUGGUGGGGUAAAGGCUCACCAAGCCAACGAUCUGUAGCUGGUCUGAGAGGACGACCAGCCACACUGGAACUGAGACACGGUCCAGACUCCUACGGGAGGCAGCAGUGGGGAAUUUUGGACAAUGGACGCAAGUCUGAUCCAGCCAUUCCGCGUGCAGGAUGAAGGCCCUCGGGUUGUAAACUGCUUUUGUACGGAACGAAAGGUUUCUAUUAAUACUAGGAGCUCAUG